rnacentral:rRNA from 1 species
CCUACGGGUGGCAGCAGUGGGGAAUAUUGCACAAUGGGCGAAACCCUGAUGCAGCGACGCCGCGUGAGUGAAGAAGUAAUUCGUUAUGUAAAGCUCUAUUGGCAGGGAAGAAAAUGAGGGUACCUAAGUAAGAAGCUUUGGCGAACUACGUGCCAGCAGCCGCGGUAAUACGUAGGGGGCACGCGUUAUCCGGAUUUAAUGGGGGUAAAGGGAGCGUAGACGGGUGUGCAAGUCUGGAGUGAAAGCCGUGGGCUCAACCCGCGGACUGCACUGGAAACUGUACGGCUGGAGUGCAGGAGAGGGAAGUGGAAUUCCUAGUGUAGCGGUGAAAUGCGUAGAUAUGAGGAGGAACACCAGUGGCGAAGGCGGCUGACUGGUCUGUAACUGACGUUGAGGUUCGAAAGCGUGGGGAGCAAACAGGAUUAGAUACCCUUGUAGUC